GACAGAGGGUGCAAACGUUGUUCGGAAUUACUGGGCGUAAAGGGCGCGUAGGCGGAUAGUUUAGUCAGAGGUGAAAGCCCAGGGCUCAACCUUGGAAUUGCCUUUGAUACUGGCUAUCUUGAGUACGGGAGAGGUGUGUGGAACUCCGAGUGUAGAGGUGAAAUUCGUAGAUAUUCGGAAGAACACCAGUGGCGAAGGCGACACACUGGCCCGUUACUGACGCUGAGGCGCGAAAGCGUGGGGAGCAAACAGU
rnacentral:rRNA from 1 species